rnacentral:rRNA from 1 species
UACGUAGGUGGCAAGCGUUGUCCGGAAUUAUUGGGCGUAAAGCGCACGUAGGCGGCCUGAUAAGUCGGGUGUGAAAGCCCUGGGCUCAACCCAGGAAGUGCACUCGAAACUGUCAGGCUUGAAUAUGGAAGAGGGUCGCGGAAUUCCCGGUGUAGAGGUGAAAUUCGUAGAUAUCGGGAGGAACACCAGUGGCGAAGGCGGCGACCUGGGCCAAUAUUGACGCUGAGGUGCGAAAGCGUGGGGAGCAAACAGG